UGGUGGCGAUAGCGAAGAGGUCACACCCGUUCCCAUACCGAACACGGAAGUUAAGCUCUUCAGCGCCGAUGGUAGUUGGGGGUUUCCCCCUGUGAGAGUAGGACGCCGCCA
rnacentral:rRNA from 2 species